rnacentral:miRNA from 1 species
AAAAGAGACAAUCUUAAAAGUUGAACUUUUAAGAUUAGUUAUUAACCGAUCUUAAAAGUCCAACUUUUAAGAUCAAUUAUGAA